rnacentral:rRNA from 1 species
UACGAAGGGGGCUAGCGUUGUUCGGAAUUACUGGGCGUAAAGCGCGCGCAGGCGGUCUUCCAAGUCAGUGGUGAAAGCCCGGAGCUCAACUCCGGAACUGCCAUUGAAACUGUAAGACUUGAGGAUGAGAGAGGUGAGUGGAAUUCCCAGUGUAGAGGUGAGAUUCGUAGAUAUUGGGAAGAACACCGGUGGCGAAGGCGGCUCACUGGCUCAUAUCUGACGCUCAGGCGCGACAGCGUGGGGAUCAAACAGG